GGGGGGGGGGGGGGGGGGGGGGGAGGGGGGGGGGGCGGGCGGGCAGGUGAGGGGCGUGCUCCUCGGGCGUGAGCGGCGGACGGGUGGGUAACGCGUGGAGAACCUACCUAUAAGACGGGGAUAACGUCGGGAAGCCGGGGGUAAUACCGGAUAAUAUAUUGAACGGCAGGGUUCAAUCGUGAGAGACGGGUUUUCUGUCGCUUAUCGAUGGCUCCGCGCCGCAUUAGCUAGGUUGUACGGUCACGGCUUACCAAGUCAAGGAUGCGUAGCCGACCUGGGCGGGUGAUCGGCCCCACGGGAACUGAGACAAGGUCCAGACUCCUCAGGGAGGCAGCAGUAGGGAAUCUUCCGCAAUGGGCGAAAGCUGGACGGAGCAACGCCGCGUGAGUGAUGAAGGUCUUCGGAUCGUAAAACUCUGUUAUUAGGGAAGAACAAAUGUGUAAGUAACUAUGCACGUCUUGACGGUACCUAAUCAGAAAGCCACGGCUAACUACGUG
rnacentral:rRNA from 1 species